ACAUGCCUACAACAAAACAUUAAUGCACCGGAUCCCAUUAGAAAUAUGCAGUUAAGCGUGCUCAGGCUAGAGUAGUACUGGGUUGGGUGACCUCCCAGGAAGUCCUAGUGUUUUGCAUGCC
rnacentral:rRNA from 1 species